UGCAGUCGAGCGGUAGAGAGAAGCUUGCUUCUCUUGAGAGCGGCGGACGGGUGAGUAAUGCCUAGGAAUCUGCCUGGUAGUGGGGGAUAACGUUCGGAAACGGACGCUAAUACCGCAUACGUCCUACGGGAGAAAGCAGGGGACCUUCGGGCCUUGCGCUAUCAGAUGAGCCUAGGUCGGAUUAGCUAGUUGGUGGGGUAAUGGCUCACCAAGGCGACGAUCCGUAACUGGUCUGAGAGGAUGAUCAGUCACACUGGAACUGAGACACGGUCCAGACUCCUACGGGAGGCAGCAGUGGGGAAUAUUGGACAAUGGGCGAAAGCCUGAUCCAGCCAUGCCGCGUGUGUGAAGAAGGUCUUCGGAUUGUAAAGCACUUUAAGUUGGGAGGAAGGGCAGUAAAUUAAUACUUUGCUGUUUUGACGUUACCGACAGAAUAAGCACCGGCUAACUCUGUGCCAG
rnacentral:rRNA from 1 species